UCUUUCCGUCGCCUCCCGAUCCCAGCCGCCAGGAGGCGCGAUCCCGCGCCGUGCUCGAUACGGUGCCGCGCCGGCCGCCGGCUGACGACGGCGAUUGCAGCGCCCUUCGCCACUGUUUCGCUUCAACUCCUCUCCUCCGCGUGCCCGAGCUCCUCGCUGUGUGCCGCCCGGGAGCGCUCGCAUUCAAUGCAGAACAUCGGGGGACGGAACUUGCAGGACCCAGAUCCAUGCGUGGCGAUGGGGAGGUCGUCGGUGACGCGUAUGAAGGACGGAGUGCGGCUUCCCGGGCGGAUCCAUGGCGGCCCCUGGGCAGAAAGGAGAUAUGAGGUGAGGGAGAAAGAACGGACGGUGCGACGAUCUCGGCAGGAACUCGCCGAAGCCAGGCGACGGUAGACAGGCGCGGGAGAAAGAGGGAUCCGGCGCGGCGGGGCGAAGUCCUUGCAGGUGGAUGCAUGUUGGCUUCCUCCGGCUGUCACCGACGUGCACUGACAGGUGAGGAACAAAGAAACCUGGUGAGUAUUUGAGGUGCCUUCUUUAGUUUCAGAAUUGUCUAACCCUCUAGGUACAUAUUAGUAGGAUGGAAAAUACUUCUGCACAACAUGGCCUUGAAAUACAGAAAUAGAUUAUGUCUUUUGUUAGACUAGAUUGUUGCCUAUGUUAUGUUGUUUGCAGGCUAUAAUUGUUCACGGAGCCAUGCAAUUGGAGCUGAGGAAAUUAUCUGCAUGGAAUGUAAACAAGUGUUGAGCCAGUACAGAGGGACGAUCCUCAAUUUGUUAAUUGCAGAGGCCCACAUAAAGUAAGGUCGAUAUGUGUUUAUUUGAUGGUACUCACGCUGUCAGGAUUGAAUCUGUUGUCGGUAAAGAAAAUGUUGGCUCGGAUGUUAUGGGCACAACCGGUGAGAUGGUUGUUGUGUGGAUAGAGAAUCAGCUCCAUGAAAACAAAACAAAGGAGCUGAUAUUGCAAUAGGUUAACCAGCUGCGUGAGCGUCUACGGAGCCCAAACAGGGAGUCAACAGUCAGCUGCUGUCAGAUCUCGAAAAUGCGGGUUCUUUUAUGACCACCAUGGAUCCCUCACCCCAAGUCAUGAUCCAGUUGCUGAAUGUCCACAAGAAAAUUUAUGUAUUAAAGGGACCUCAUUCCCCAAGCUACUCGACGAAAAAUAAAAUGUAUGCAUGCGCCAAUGAAUUCCAAAAAUUAAUCCUCAUGUGUGUCCAAAUAUUUUGUCUGAGAAGUCCGAAUGUUCAGUGUUGGAAAAGUAUACCUCCCGCUGAUAGAACAAGGGAAAGAUCAUUUCGUUGAUGGCGAGUUCACACUGAUGCUGAUCACCGGCGCGCGUUGGCAGUGUCAUGCUGCUUGGUCGGCACUGCAACUACACAGCUAAACAGGAGAUGAUAGCGUCUCAAACUGGACUUUUUGAUCAUUUGAUAAACGUUUGGAAAUUCAAGCGUGGUCCUCUUCUGCAACAUGUGACCUAUUACUUCUUAAUUUAUGGACUUUAAGUUUUAGUCAUCCCUAUAUCGUCAGGGAAAUUUGUGGUGAUUUGUAAUCAAACUUGCAAAGAACAUCCUUACUUCUGAUUAUGUUUGAAGAGGUAUGAUGGAUGGUUGAUCUAAGAC